UACAGAGGGUGCGAGCGUUUGUUCGGAAUUACUGGGCGUAAAGCGUGCGCAGACGGUUGCGUAAGUCAGAUGUGAAAGCCCCGGGCUCAACCUGGGAAUUGCAUUGAGACUGCGUAGCUAGGGUGCGGAAGAGGGAAGCGGAAUUUCCGGUGUAGCGGUGAAAUGCGUAGAUAUCGGAAGGAACACCAGUGGCGAAAGCGGCUUCCUGGUCCAGCACCGACGUUC
rnacentral:rRNA from 1 species